AUAUCUACCUAAUGGAGGAAGGAUGGCCAGCCACACAGGAGGGUGAUUUUUACUAAGGAGGAGAAGGAGGCUGUGCUGACCGAGAUACAUGAUGGCCAUUUCGGAGUGAAGCGCAUGAUUGCCAAAAUCAACCUACACUUCUUCUGACGGGGAAUUGUCAAGGAGGUGGAUAGCUGGGCAAAUAAAAUAACCUUUUGUUUAUCACAGUCUAUUAUAUCUGAAAUUAUUAUGAUUUCAAUGAAUGUUCUGUCAGAGAACACACAAUUUUUGAGAGGGAAGUUUGAGAGGGCGAAGACUGGCGCUGGAGGUGAAGCCCAUCAAGCAUGUUAUAAGUUAUAUUCUGUCACCAAUAGUUUUUUUUUAAAGUUUUUUUUAACAAUUUGUCUUUGUUUUCCAUGGCACAUAAUUAGACAUAUAUCAAUAUCUUACAUUGUCAGUAGAUAUCGCUCUCCUACCCUCUCCUCCGCGUUUGGUGAAUUGACCAACCAGACCCUCAACACUGCUUUGGGCAAGUCCCUUGAUUGGUACCAGAAAGGGUGGGAGAACAACCUGAAGGUAAUUCUCUUUGCACACAACAGCAGCAUCCAGGCCUCCACCGAGUACAGAUGGAAGCGACAGCUGUUGACUGAGGGAAACAAUGCAAUUGUACAAUUAUUGCAUAUACUGUAGUCUUUGUCAUUUGUGAUUGACUUGUUGUUUGUCUAUUGCUAUUUUUGAAUAACGUACUUUCAGAUCCCUGAAACCCCACCUGAUGUGGUGGAAGUUGUCGAACCAGAUCAGAACGCCUUCAAGGACCACCUUCAGGCACGGACUGAGAUGAAUGUGGAGGUUUUUGACAAAGUGAGACUGACCAUCGACACGGCGAAGGAGAAACAGAAGGAGAGCUAACGGAGCAGAAUCAAGAAAGGGAACAAGUGCUUCGACAUCCUGGAAAAUUACCUGGUUUGGAAGAAGGACGAAAGGAAGGCGAGACCUGGGAAUCCUCGCUGCUCUUUCGCUCCUAGCUGAGAUCACCAUCUGUUAAGUCUUCCUAGGUUUACCUCGGAGGAAGCCAAACAAUCUUCUCCAGUUGGAGCAGUUGGAUGGUCGACUACUCAAAGCCCUGACGCCCUACACUUCAGUGAAGCCCAAUAGACAAAGACCAUCGACUGUCCGAGCCCUCCAGGACGUAUCUCAUCCACCAGAACCAAUGAGUUCGGAUCAGUCUGAUUCUCUGUGCUCUGAGUCAGAGGGGGACCAGCUUGAGGACCUAGGGGGUUCUGCCCAACACCCAGACGUGGAUCCACCUGAUGGCCUCCAUUAACAACCACCCUCCAACUUUUCAUUACAUCAUCUACAACUACUGUUAUUGUCAUUAUCUGCUAAUCAUUUUUUUUUGCUCUAUCAUACUGGGCACAUAAUAUGUGAGAUACACAGAUGAACUAAAAACACGAGCACUUCAAACACUCAGAACAACGAGAGCAGCAGAGCCCCCCUUCCGAGACUGGCUGCCUGUUGAGAACAAGUGACAACUUCCCACCCACACAGCAACCACCUCCUCUAUAUUCCAGAAACCAGAAUUCACUAUUUUAGUCUAUGAUUGCCAUGUGAGUGUACAAAACAACUAUCAAAGUUUAUAUAUUCAAAUCUUAAAUAUUGCCAUGUUGGUUUUCACAGCUGUUUCACAAGGUGUUCAUUAUUGUAAGUUGUAAGGUAUCCUUUGAUGGUGUUUAUUUGUUCCACAUUAUUCAUUGUUGUAUCCUAGGACCUACAACAUAUAUAUUCAACCACAAGGGUGUACUAAUGAGCUAUGCGAGAUGAAUCAUAACAGUGGACUACUGAAAUUAUAUUAUAUCAGUGUAGAUAAGGGAAGGGCAGGUUAAAAUAAAAACAUGACAGCCAGACAAGCCAGUGUAUGAAUCAAACGGAUUUGCAUAUGAAUGGAUUAGAAAUUAGCCGACUUUGUGAUCUGUGAAGGUAAAUAACUUUAAUGAGUCAAGCAGAUUACACGUUUCCGAAACGUAGUAACAUUUAAAACAUGGAUUUCAUGUUGUAAUGUUAACAAGGUACCCAAAAGGAGUUCAUAGUAAUGUUUUCAUUGUAUUAGCUAAACAAAACUUGCUUAAACAGCGAAAUUGUUGCGGAAAUCACCCCUGUUUGCAUAGCUAUGAUGAAAAGAACGUAAUUUAUGUUGUAAUGAACUCCAAAAUUCUAAUCAUUAUGUCAUCACACCGUUGCUAUAUCAAUGAACGCAAAUAGUUCAUCAAAUCCCAUUGUGACGCAGAGAGGGACACUUUUUGGCAUGACUGGCCCGGUUUCUUCCCUGGGCGGAGUACGCCCAGAACUCGCUUCGUCACUCCCCCACCGGGCUGUCUCCCUUCCAGUGUGUCCUGGGGUACAAGCAGGCCCUGCCCUGGCCUUGUGGACCCCGAUCCAGACCGAAGCCCCUGCGGUGGACGAGUGGUUCUGGCAGAGGAAGUUUGGAACGCUGCCGAUGUGAGGCACCAACGUGCCGUCUGCCGCCAAAAGGAGCAAGCGGAUCGCCAACGCAGUGAGACUCCUGUGUUCCAUCCUGGUGAUCGGGUCUGGCUCUCCACCAGGAACCUCCCACUCCGCCUGCCCUGCCGGAAGCUGAGCCCCCAGUUUGUGGGUCCAUUCAAAGUCCUCCGGCGGGUCAAUGAGGUAACAUACCAAUUACAGCUUCCCACUAACUACUGGAUCUCACCCUCUUUUCACAUUUCCCUCCGCAGGCUGGUAGUUUCUGGUCCCCUGGCUGAUGCCGAACCUCAUGACACCCCUCCACCUCCCCUGGACAUCUAGGGAAGCUCCGCCUAUGCUGUCAGAUCCCUCCUGGACUCCCGACGUUGUGGGUGUCGGCUCCAGUACCUGGUGGACUGGGAGGGGUAUGGUCCAGAGGAGCGGUGUUGGGUUCCGGUGGACGACAUUCUAGAUCCCAGCAUCAUCUGGGAUUUCCACCUUCGCCGACCGGACCGGCACGCUCCUCGCCCUCAGGGCGGUUCCCCUGGCCGGCGUCGUCCUGUGGCUGGAGCCACACGCCGGGGGGAGGGGGUACUAUCACGUCUUCUCCCGCUCCGGUGCUCGACGUCACCGGUCCACUAACCACUGGUCCUGGCAACCCAUCAUUAUGCACACCUGGCAACCAUCAUUACGCACACCUGCGCCCUGUCAUGAGGCAAACAUGGACUUCAUCACACGGUGAUUACUUCCCCUUUAUCUAGCACUCUGUUGUAUCAUCCAUUACGUAGUAUUGUUUCCUGUUUUUAUGUUUAGAUGCUACUCCUGUUUUUGUAUUCACUCCAUGUUCGUUCCUAUUGAAUUCACCAACUCCACCUGGUUCCUGACUCCCUGCGCCUCCAUUACAAUCUGAUUGUUAAACAAAUCACUUCAAAAAGUAGACUACCUGUG